UGGGGAAUAUUGGACAAUGGGGGAAACCCUGAUCCAGCGACGCCGCGUGUGUGAAGAAGGCCUGCGGGCUGUAAAGCACUUUCGGUGGGAACGAAAUAUGCCGGGUUAAUACCCCGGUAGGCUGACGUUACUCAAUGAAGAAGCACCGGCUAACUCUGUGCCAGCAGCCGCGGUAAUACAGAGGGUGCGAGCGUUAAUCGGAAUUACUGGGCGUAAAGCGCACGUAGGUGGCGACGUAAGUCGGGUGUGAAAGCCCCGGGCUCAACCUGGGAACCGCAUUCGAGACUGUGUUGCUGGAGUACGGAAGAGGAGGGCGGAAUUCCG
rnacentral:rRNA from 1 species